GGGGUUGUGGCUCAGCAGUAGAGUGCUCGCCUAGCAUGUGUGAGGCCCUGGGUUCAAUCCUCAGCACCA
rnacentral:tRNA from 1 species